GCCAGGUUGUUCUCCACCCACCAGGCCCAGCAUGGCCUUUGCCAGAACAAUGGCAGGAUACAGGGUUAUGCUUACAUGCAGUCCUUCGAGCCAGGUUGUACUGGACCAGGCAGACCAGGGCUUGUCCGGGGUACACAGUGGCGCAGCAGCCUCAGCAUCAAAUGCAGGGACCUCUGGAGUAGCCUGGGGAUUUUCACCUACUGCCUUGACAGCGAGGCUCAAAAGGUCCCGCCAGGAGGACUUCUGGAGAGAUCGGAGCUCUCAUGCAGAUGUCAGCCAGACCUGAUCUCCUCGUCUAGAGGCCACGGUGACACUGCACGGGGAACUCUCCAGGCUCCGCUCUCAGCAGUGGUGAAUAAGGGUCCCUGACUCCCUGGCUUCUCAAUUCAGAUUCUGGCUGUCACACUGAAAAACAGGAGGGAGGCUGAAAACAUUAGCGCACAAGGCAGCACUUAAAGCAACAACCCUUUUCUGUCUUUUUCUGUUUUGCUAUUAUUGUUUUUGUUUGUUUGUUUUUUGGUUGUUGGUUGGUUGGUUGGUUUUGGCUUUAUGUUGUUUCUGAGACAGUCUCAGCACAACCCAGGUUGGCCUGCCUCGGCCUCUCCAGUGUUGGGAUUAUAGGCAUAUGCCACUGUGCCUACCUCUCUUUUCCUGUCUUUAAGAUUCCACCAUAAGUUCAGGAGUAAAUAAUAUAAUUAUCUGUAUAUUUAUUACAUAACAAGCACUGCCAAAGACUCAGUAGCUUGAAAUCACAAACGUUUCUGAUCCAGACAUGGAUUUAUGUGUCCUGAAGGCUGCCCAGAGCCGCCAGUCUCUGUGUGAUGAUACUCGGAAAGUCAACCUGAAGUCAUUAUGAGCUUCCCCCAUGGGAUGGCUGAGGCAGGACAAACACGGGAGGUGGGUAUCAGCUGUCACAGGCUCCACCUGCAGCCCAUGUACAUUUCAGCUUUGUUUGUUUAUCCUCCCUGACCGCAGGUGCCUCCAAAAUAUAGCCAUUCAUUGCCUCUUCAUUGUCACAUGUCUGCUGCAAGGGACAUUUAAUAAAUAUUUGCCUCAUAAAUGAAUAAAAAUGAAUAUAUAGUAUAUUUAUCAUUUAUUUGCUCCUCAGCCAGGACCCUGACUUGUCCCCAUGGUAACCUGCAGUAGGCUCUGAACUGAGCAAAGAGGACAUGAGUGGAAACAGGACUUAAACUUGACUUGGAAAACUUGAAGUCUAAGGAAAGAAGACAAUAUACAAAA